CUUCCUUCCUUCCUUCCUUCCUUCCUUCCUUCCUUCGUGAUUUGUAUCACACAGUGAAUUUUCUGCCACAGGACUGAUAGGAUGGUGUCUUUCAUGGGUGGGGUUAUACAACACUUUAUAUGUGAAAAAUAAAGCCAUUAUAAACUUCCAUUCACACAAUGGGUUGGGAGUGUGUUUGCUUAUCAAUAAGCCAAGGUUCAUAGCAAUGAAGCAAAAACAUUUCUAGUAUUAGCAGAGACAAGAGGUGUUUGAAAACAUCCGUGGCAAGUGCAGCUUUCAAAUGGUGUUGUCAGUUAUGCUGCAAUUAUUUCAUUAGGCGUGCUGAGAGAGAUGUCACCAGACCCAAUGGGUCAUGUGACAGGGAAUGCCCAUGGGUUCAGCAAUGUUUCUGCUGCCCUCCGUGUAAAAGGAGAACUCUCAGAAAUGCCAGACGUAGCUGAACAGAAAUGCUGGCACACUAAUCCUUUGGAGGAAAAGUCCUCUUUGCUGUCCCUCUGCUGAGACAUGGCUGAGCGUUGGAGCCAGGGUAUGCUAAGGCCACGUUUCUCAUUAAGAAGUCUGUUUGUUCUGCUGACGGACAUCGAGUCACGUUAAAUUAAAUACAAGCAGUGUUUUCUCCACUCCUAGCAUAACAUCUCUAUGUCAUCAAUGACCUUCUUACCAUGGCUUCCGGUCGCCUGAAAACCACUGAGUAUCUCAGUGGAGAAGGAACAGAUUGCCUAACCAGACAGGUAAGCAGAGAGGCUGGUACUGACAGACCUGUCAUUUGAAGAUGGGCUGCACUUGAAUGAGUGUCCAAGCUACACAGUUACUCAGCCGCCUCUUUUGUUCUCAGCUAAUGUCACUGGAAGCAAUCACAGUUGGGCAGUCACCUGAGAAGGUGACCUUCUGAAUAGCCUUUCUUUCCAUUACCCAUCAAAGCAACUGGAAGGCUCCUGUUACAGAGCAGGUGAGGAGAGGAAGAGGCCUCUGUGUUAAGAGGAGGGAUGGAGGCAGGUCACAAAUAAACAAGUAAGACAAAAAAAAAAAUAAAAAUAAAAAAAA